GAUGAACGCUGGCGGCGUGCCUAAUACAUGCAAGUCGAGCGAACGGACGAGAAGCUUGCUUCUCUGAUGUUAGCGGCGGACGGGUGAGUAACACGUGGAUAACCUACCUAUAAGACUGGGAUAACUUCGGGAAACCGGAGCUAAUACCGGAUGAUAUUUUGAACCGCAUGGUUCAAAAGUGAAAGACGGUCUUGCUGUCACUUAUAGAUGGAUCCGCGCUGCAUUAGCUAGUUGGUAAGGUAACGGCUUACCAAGGCAACGAUGCAUAGCCGACCUGAGAGGGUGAUCGGCCACACUGGAACUGAGACACGGUCCAGACUCCUACGGGAGGCAGCAGUAGGGAAUCUUCCGCGAUGGGCGAGAGCCUGACGGAGCAACGCCGCGUGAGUGAUGAAGGUCUUCGGAUCGGAAAACUCUGUUAUUAGGGAAGAACAUAUGUGUAAGUAACUGUGCACAUCUUGACGGUACCUAAUCAGAAAGCCACGGCUAACUACGUG
rnacentral:rRNA from 1 species